rnacentral:lncRNA from 1 species
AAAAACUUGAAUUAUACAUCAAUCAUGUCAAUUGGUCUAUACCAAUAUAUAUACCUCAAUUAGUGGAUUAAACGUCAAUUGAGGUAUAAUCCACCAAUUGGUGGUUAUUCCUGACCUAUUUACUUUUAAACUACAUGUAUACAGGAAUGUUUAGGCCAAAAUUAAAAAUAUGUUUGUUUCCCCUCCCCUCACCCGGGAAAAAAAUAAGCC